GUGCCAGCCGCGGCGGUAAUACGUAGGGUGCAAGCGUUAAUCGGAAUUACUGGGCGUAAAGCGUGCGCAGGCGGUUCGGAAAGAAAGAUGUGAAAUCCCAGAGCUUAACUUUGGAACUGCAUUUUUAACUACCGGGCUAGAGUGUGUCAGAGGGAGGUGGAAUUCCGCGUGUAGCAGUGAAAUGCGUAGAUAUGCGGAGGAACACCGAUGGCGAAGGCAGCCUCCUGGGAUAACACUGACGCUCAUGCACGAAAGCGUGGGAGCAACAGGAUUAGAUACCCUGGUAGUCCACGCCCUAAACGAUGUCAACUAGCUGUGGGCCUUCGGCCUUGGUAGCGCAGCUAACGCGUGAAGUUGACCG
rnacentral:rRNA from 1 species